rnacentral:tRNA from 1 species
GAUUGUUUAGCUUAAUGGUAGAGUACUCAACUAGUAUCUGAGGGGUGCGGGUUCAAGUCCCAUGCUCAUCU